UGCAUUUAGCUGCCUGUGACAUCCAGU
rnacentral:piRNA from 2 species